GGGGAUGUGGCGGAAUUGGUAGACGCACUGGAUUUAGGUUCCAGCGCCGCAAGGUGUGAGAGUUCGAGUCUCUCCGUCCCCACCA
rnacentral:tRNA from 1 species